AUUGAACGCUGGCGGCAGGCCUAACACAUGCAAGUCGAGCGGAUGAAGGGAGCUUGCUCCUGGAUUCAGCGGCGGACGGGUGAGUAAUGCCUAGGAAUCUGCCUGGUAGUGGGGGAUAACGUCCGGAAACGGGCGCUAAUACCGCAUAAGUCCUGAGGGAGAAAGUGGGGGAUCUUCGGACCUCACGCUAUCAGAUGAGCCUAGGUCGGAUUAGCUAGUUGGUGGGGUAAAGGCCUACCAAGGCGACGAUCCGUAACUGGUCUGAGAGGAUGAUCAGUCACACUGGAACUGAGACACGGUCCAGACUCCUACGGGAGGCAGCAGUGGGGAAUAUUGGACAAUGGGCGAAAGCCUGAUCCAGCCAUGCCGCGUGUGUGAAGAAGGUCUUCGGAUUGUAAAGCGCUUUAAGUUGGGAGGAAGAGCAGUAAGUUAAUACCUUGCUGUUUUGACGGUACCAAAAGAAUAAGCACCGGCUAACUUCGUG
rnacentral:rRNA from 1 species